CGGAGUGUAGCGCAGCCUGGUAGCGCAUCUGCUUUGGGAGCAGAGGGUCGCAGGUUCGAAUCCUGCCACUCCGACCA
rnacentral:tRNA from 1 species